AUAUUCAUGAUUUGAAUUUGACUUCCAUUUUUUGUAACUUCGUACUAAAGUGAAACAGAAAUUAACAACAACUGACGUUUGGUUUUCAGAUACGGGAUCAUAUCAAUUACGUGGACAAGUCGUAUGGUGGGACAACCUACGACCCCUUUAUAUGGAGCAACAGCGUUAGUCGAGAUUACUUCGAGCAGCUGGCAUGUGUGGCACCAGCGAAAUAGUGUACAUUAGAUAUGGGAACAAGUCAACUACAUCAUUAACAUGGACGCGUCGUACGGCAGGGCAACCCACGACGCCUUCAUAUGUAGCAAUAGCAUUAGUCAAGACUACUUCGAGCAGCGGGCAUGUGGUACCAGCGAAAUAGCGCACAUUAGGUAGAAGACUCCGGGUAUCCACUGCGGGAACACGGGACACCUUAUGAUUUCUGCAAGCGGCGCCGCAGAAGAAUCCCCGAGGCUAUAACGCCAUACAAAAGAAGGCGCGCUCCACUAUAGAGCUAACAUUUGGGAUAUUAAAAGUUACACCACCACCAUGGCCACUACUGUCUGAUCUGUGAUCCGUGCUGUGCCUAUACGCGAAGACCGUACUCCCGACGACGGCGAUGAAAAUAACACUGCCGGC